UGCCGAAUCAACUAGCCCUGAAAAUGGAUGGCGCUGAGCGUGACGCUCAUACCCGGCCGUCGGCGGCAGUGCAGUACGCCCCGACGAGUAGGAGGGACGCCGUGGUGUGCAACGAAGCGACGGCCGAGAGGCCGCGCGGAGCCGCCUCGGGCGCAGAUCUUGGUGGUAGUAGCAAAUACUCAAGUGAGAGCCUUGAGGGCCGAGUCGUGGAGAAGGGUUCCAUGUGAACAGCCGUUGCACAUGGGUCAGUCGAUCCUAAGGUCUAGGGUAGUUCCGCUCUGAGCGGCGGCGCGCGCCCACCUUGCUGUGGGUAAGCGCUCCCUGGUCGAAAGGGAAUCGGGUCAAUAUUCCCGAACCUGAAGGUGGAGCCCGCCGCCAAUAGGCGGUCAGAGCUGUAAAGCUAUAGAGCCCGGAGACGCUGACCGGAGCCCCGGGAAGAGUUGUCUUUUCUUUGUAAGGGGCGUGGAUCCCUGAAACCGACUGGAUCGGAGAGAGGGACCGCGGCCCCGUAGAGCGCCGCGUCUGGAGCGGCGUCCGGAGUUGCACCGGUCGGCCCUUGAAAAUCCGGGGGGCGAGUGUGGACUCUCACCUCAGAUCGUACCCAUAACCGCAGCAGGUCUCCAAGGUGAACAGCCUCUGGUCAAUAGAACAAUGUAGGUAAGGGAAGUCGGCAAGCCGGAUCCGUAACUUCGGGAUAAGGAUUGGCUCUGAGGACUGGGUCGGUCGGGCCGGGGCUGGAAGCAGGCACGGACCCUCAGCGUGACUGGGCGAGCCGGUCGAAGCCCGCUUCGCGGCGGUGCCGAGACUGGCGAACCCGGACUUUGCAUUGGGUCCGGCUCGUGGACCGUCCUGGCUGCGCGGCAGCCUUGUGUUGUCGCCUCGGCCGGCG
rnacentral:rRNA from 1 species